UCCGGCCAUAUCACUGUGAAACACCGGUUCUCAUUAAAUUUAAGUUAAGCAACGUUGAACCUAGUCAGUACCUAGAUGGGUGACCGCUUGGGAAUACCAGGUGCUGUAAG